CCUACGGGAGGCUGCAGUGAGGAAUAUUGGUCAAUGGGAGAGAUCCUGAACCAGCCAAGCCGCGUGCGGGAUGACGGCCCUAUGGGUUGUAAACCUCUUUUGUCGGGGAACAACACCCGGGACGAGUCCCGGAUUGCGUGUAUCCGAUGAAAAAGCAUCGGCUAAUUCCGUGCCAGCAGCCGCGGUAAUACGGAGGAUCCGAGCGUUAUCCGGAUUUAUUGGGUUUAAAGGGUGCGUAGGCGGUCUGUUAAGUCAGCGGUAAAAUUGCGGGGCUCAACCCCGUCGAGCCGUUGAAACUGGCAGACUUGAGUGGGCGGGAAGUACGCGGAAUGCGCGGUGUAGCGGUGAAAUGCAUAGAUAUCGCGCAGAACUCCGAUUGCGAAGGCAGCGUACCGGCGCCAGACUGACGCUGAGGCACGAAAGCGUGGGGAUCGAACAGGAUUAGAUACCCCUGUAGUC
rnacentral:rRNA from 1 species